GAUGAACGCUGGCGGCGUGCCUAAUACAUGCAAGUCGAGCGAACAGACGAGGAGCUUGCUCCUUUGACGUUAGCGGCGGACGGGUGAGUAACACGUGGGUAACCUACCUAUAAGACUGGGAUAACUUCGGGAAACCGGAGCUAAUACCGGAUAAUAUUUCGAACCGCAUGGUUCGAUAGUGAAAGAUGGCUUUGCUAUCACUUAUAGCUGGACCUGCGCCGUAUUAGCUAGUUGGUAAGGUAACGGCUUACCAAGGCAACGAUACGUAGCCGACCUGAGAGGGUGAUCGGCCACACUGGAACUGAGACACGGUCCAGACUCCUACGGGAGGCAGCAGUAGGGAAUCUUCCGCAAUGGGCGAAAGCCUGACGGAGCAACGCCGCGUGAGUGAUGAAGGUCUUCGGAUCGUAAAACUCUGUUAUUAGGGAAGAACAAACGUGUAAGUAACUGUGCACGUCUUGACGGUACCUAAUCAGAAAGCCACGGCUAACUACGUG
rnacentral:rRNA from 1 species